GCGGCGGGCCGUGACUGGCGUUCGGGUGGAUCACCACCGGGGAGCGGCCCGGCGCACCCCCUGCGCCGACUGCCGCGCGCCUGGGCGAUCCGC
rnacentral:ncRNA from 2 species